GAUGAACGCUGGCGGCGUGCCUAAUACAUGCAAGUCGAGCGAACAGACGAGGAGCUUGCUCCUCUGACGUUAGCGGCGGACGGGUGAGUAACACGUGGAUAACCUACCUAUAAGACUGGGAUAACUUCGGGAAACCGGAGCUAAUACCGGAUAAUAUAUUGAACCGCAUGGUUCAAUAGUGAAAGACGGUUUUGCUGUCACUUAUAGAUGGAUCCGCGCCGCAUUAGCUAGUUGGUAAGGUAACGGCUUACCAAGGCAACGAUGCGUAGCCGACCUGAGAGGGUGAUCGGCCACACUGGAACUGAGACACGGUCCAGACUCCUACGGGAGGCAGCAGUAGGGAAGCUUCCGCAAUGGGCGAGAGCUUGACGGAGCAACGCCGCGUGAGUGAUGAAGGUCUUCGGAUCGUAAAACUCUGUUAUUAGGGAAGAACAAAUGUGUAAGUAACUAUGCACGUCUUGACGGUACCUAAUCAGAAAGCCACGGCUAACUACGUG
rnacentral:rRNA from 1 species